rnacentral:ncRNA from 1 species
CUCGCGAGGGUGAGCUAACUCCAAAAACCCGUCCUCAGUUCGGAUUGCAGGCUGCAACUCGCCUGCAUGAAGCAGGAAUCGCUAGUAAUCGCCGGUCAGCCAUACGGCGGUGAAUCCGUUCCCGGGCCUUGUACACACCGCCCGUCACACUAUAGAAGCUGGCCAUGUUUGAAGUCAUUACCCUUAACCGUAAGGAGGGGGAUGCCUAAGGCUAGGCUUGCGACUGG